ACGACCUUACUUGAACAGGAUCUGUUCUAUAGGAUCGUACUACUAUUCCCUUUAGUAAUAAAGAGAUUAGUCAACAAGUCUGGUGGAUGAUAAAUAACUUCAUAAUCAGAGUGUGAUUAACGGAUUAAAUGAUUUACAAUUAAAUCUGUAGAUGAUCGUUCUCAGAUUGGUUUACCAUUAUGAGAUGAUUAUGAGGUUCUCUGACAGACU
rnacentral:snoRNA from 1 species